AGUGAACGCUGGCGGUAGGCCUAACACAUGCAAGUCGAACGGUAGCACAGUAAGAGCUUGCUCUUACGGGUGGCGAGUGGCGGACGGGUGAGGAGUACAUCGGAAUCUACUUUUUCGUGGGGGAUAACGUAGGGAAACUUACGCUAAUACCGCAUACGACCUACGGGUGAAAGCAGGGGAUCUUCGGACCUUGCGCGAUUGAAUGAGCCGAUGUCGGAUUAGCUAGUUGGCGGGGUAAAGGCCCACCAAGGCGACGAUCCGUAGCUGGUCUGAGAGGAUGAUCAGCCACACUGGAACUGAGACACGGUCCAGACUCCUACGGGAGGCAGCAGUGGGGAAUAUUGGACAAUGGGCGCAAGCCUGAUCCAGCCAUACCGCGUGGGUGAAGAAGGCCUUCGGGUUGUAAAGCCCUUUUGUUGGGAAAGAAAAGCAGCAGGUUAAUACCCCGCUGUUCUGACGGUACCCAAAGAAUAAGCACCGGCUAACUUCGUG
rnacentral:rRNA from 1 species